UGCUCCUCUCCAGGCCGCCGGGGCCCGCUCCUCCGGGGGGCAGCAGGCGGGCCGGGCUGCGGGGGGCUGAGCCCAGAGCGGCUGGGGGGGAGGCAAGACAGACAGACACACUCCUGAUGCCCAGGCCUGCCUCCCCCACCCCCGCCCCUGGAGACGGAGGUGCAAACUCCCCCAGGUCAUGAUGCGCAGGCCCCUUCCCCGAGAAACACACUCAGGAACACCCCCUCCCCGAAGUCGGGGGCACAGAGCCUCCCCAGGGCAGAAUGAAAGUCUCUCCCACAAGGACAGACCCGCAGAACCUCCCCCGACACCCCGGGACAAACCAACGGAACCUGCCCCCGAACAACAGACCGCACGGCCUCCUCCCCCAACUCACACGGAGAAUCACCCCCACGAGAUGAAACCCCCCAAAAAGGAGACACACAGAGGAAGCAGACCCCUUCCCGUCCCAAAAGAACACACACAAAGGAGAGGGGGUGAGACCGGAUCCCUCCAACCCAAGCUAAGUCUAUUAUCUACUCACCGAGGCUCCCUGUCCCGAGUCCCAGACCCAGCCUGCGGGGAGAAGGAGGAAGCGACAGCUCAGUUUUACUGAUGACUUCCUGGAAGAGAGGGAAAGCUGAAGAUCUAUGCUUUCUUCGGCCCAAACUUAGCCUAAAAGGGGAAACCACGAAGGGGGCAUUUUAAAGGACACCACAGAGGAGAUAGCUCAACUCUAUGAAGAGGACUGAUCAAGCCUCACCCCGUCACUUUGGACCUGUGCGUCCUUGAGCUGGUGAGGACCCAGCCAGUGACCUCCACACCCCAGCACACCUCAUCCCGGCCACAUCCGAGGCACCGCCCAGCCCUCACCUGCUCUCCUCGCUCUCCAGCAGCUUGCGAGCCGUGGGACAGGUGCCUUUCGUCUUCCACAUGCCAGCCAAGAAGAUGAGAAACAGCGAAGGGCCCUCUGCCUCUGUGUCGAAGGAUGCAACCUGGGGCGGGGAGCGGGGAGCCGGGGGGUGUCUGUGGCCCACAGAGGGAGCGUGACCCCGUGUGAAGGCGACAGAGAAGACAGAGGCCUCUCUCUUCUCCAGCCAAAUGUCGCCAAACCUGCACAUUUUUAAAGAGAACCCAGAAAGCCGGACGGCCAGGCAAACUCUUGUGCAAUUUCUGAAAAAUACACACGGAUACAAAAAUGUGCACACACACAAAAGAUGAAAUGCGUGCAAGCCUCCGUGUGUGGACGUAUUUCACCUGCGUGUUAACACUUGCCCACACGAAAGGCAGAGCGCCCUGGGCCGAUGCGGCGGGGCGCACGCUUACAGCCACACUUGCGUGUGCUCAGACACGGGGAGAAACUCUGCCCAUGUGUUCCGGAGGAUGAGGAUGAGCAGUCGGC